GGAAGCUGUAGGUUCAGUCAGUCAGAAGCAGGCAUCCUUUUUGCUGUGUGUGGAUCCAGGAGGUUGGCAGAAGGUCCAGCAGGCAUGAAUGACCAGAGGUGGGGCCACCCCUUCCUGGUCACUGGCCGAGCCUGCCUACCCUGAGAGGAGGUGGGGGUGGGAGAGUGGACCAUACAGGACAAGUGACAGAGAUGAGCUGUACUGCCCAGCUCCAACUCUAUAGAGUAUCUGGGUAACAUCAGCCCGGAAGAGGAUUUGCCACCAACUGUGGAAUAGUUAGAAUCCUAAGCAUAUCAGUGACCUCUUGAGAAAGUCACAGCCCUCUCUCUUCAUGAUCUACUCACUGUCCAGUCCUUGUUGAUGUCCAGAAGGUGGUUCCGAGUAUGUCUGGGAGACAAGACUCCAGGAAGGAUCCUGAUCUGCUCCUCUUGGGCCUCUUGGGCCUUUCCUCUGGAAAGUGGCUCUACUGUGGGAUGGAGCUCCCUCCCGCCCUGAGGCCAAGGUUCCCAGCUCUUGUGCUGGGAAUAUAACUUCAAUCAGAUAGUUGUGUGUGGCUUCUCUCUGGGACCAGGGAACUUUCUAGACACCCAGCUGUUUGGAUCCCCAUCAGCAUGUGGGAUGAGCACGGUGACUGGUGUUUUGUGGGGAUAGCCAUCUCUUUAGUGUCAGGGCACCUCCCCUGCACAUCCCUCUCAUGUCUUUAGACCUCCAAAUGCCACUUUCCCGGAAUCCUAAGACUGCUAUCCCCUGUGCUGCCUGACCCUACUCACUCUGCCCUGGAGUUUACUUUCCCCAUGGCAUGACCCUGGUCUUCCCAAGGAGGCAGGUGUUGCUGUAAAAUUAAAAAAAAAAAAAAAA
rnacentral:lncRNA from 1 species